UUUGUCAGUCAUCUGCGUUAUAUUUGGGUAUCUAAUGAAAUCCGUGAUUGAUAUCAUUCCAAGUUCAGUGCCAUCUCCUUUGUGAGUGGAUGCUUGUUUCAUUGUGCGAGAUAUUCUUGGAGAUCCUAGAUUAAUUCCUUAAGGAUCCUUUUUUAUGCGACUGUAUCUUCAGUGUAUCCUGCAAGAUAUUUGUUUAUUAGUUUGUCGUUAUUGAAACAUAUUAUGGGAGUAUGGGGCUAACAGGGUUGUCACAUACACUCCUUAUAUAUUUAGCAUCUUUGUUGAGUUUUUUCCCACUGCAUGGGAUUUGUCUAUAAUUAGAAUUGAGGUUUACUCCAACUUAUCGGGAUUUCUCUAAAUUCAGUUUAAACUCUAACCAACACCAACAAGGAUGACACAUGAGGGGCUCUGUUAUCAUUUGUAACGGCCUAACCUGCUAAUGAUAUUGUCCGCUCUAGACCUAAGCCUACACGACUUUAAAACACGUCACUAGGAUGUAAGGCCUUUUUACCUUUAUACCUAACUUAUCUCCUACGUUGUUGAUGUGAGAUUUCUUAUCCUAAGUUGGGGUGUCACAUUUCUUUUGAAUACAUGGUUCUAACAUUCUUUGUAUGAUAUACUUAUUGCUCUUGCUCGGUUGACUUAUGAGUACGUAUCCAUAUUUUUGUACUCAUACUACUUUUGCGACAUCUUCGCUGAAACAGAUCCUAGUAAUAGCAGCCCUCGUUGACCCUAAUCGUUCGAAGUUGUUUCUGAUUUGAAAUUAUGGUGAUCUCCUUGUGUUCAAAGUCAUGGUCCAACUUCAUGUGUGUUUCCUUUCUAUCUUUCCUAUUUCAUAGAAAUUUUGAUGUACUAGAGUUAUAUUCGGCAUCUAUAAGACCUUGUACCGAUGACGCUAAGUCUUGAGAUGGUUUCAUUUCUACAUUUCGUAAUUUUAAUUAUGAAAGGGUUGUAAGGCUUAUUAUCUUACUGCUUAUUUCUUCAACAUUUAUUUAUAAUGUUUUUUAUGCUGGUGAAAAGUUGGCUUACCUAUACCGUGGGUUAAACUAGAUUUCAUCAUAAACUUUGAUUUUGGGUCGUGACAUAUUUUAAGACUAGCUUCUUUUUAAGCACGUAGAUAUGAUAUAUUUUACUAUUGUGAUGCAUGCGGAUAUAUAACGUAUUCUGCUACAAAUAUAUUAUAUACAUAUGGCUACACUUAUUUACACACACAAAUAUAUUAUAUUUCAGUAUAACUAUGUGUUUGAAUACAAUUUGUUCCACUACAUUUUGAAAUUUAAAUGCUGCUACAUUCACAAUUAAGCAAAACCUCGCCAUGUAUAGUAUUUUGGGGUGAAACUACAGCUAUAUUAUAAUUUUUUCCUAUAUAUAAUAUAUGAGGAUUGAAUGUAGGUUCCACAGAGGCCAAGUCAACCCAAUACAACUUGGCACGUCCUGAAUUAUUUGCUUGUCAUUGACGUCUAUGUUUCAUGAUUAAUGAUUAAUGCACUCAAGUGGAGUAAUAAUUGAACACCUAGCUUCCUCCCCCAAAUUAUUACUAACAAACAACUACUAUAUUAUUUUAAUUAAGCAGAAUAAUUUGAAUUUGUUACCUAAUCAACACGAGACUAUGACCUCGAUUCUAUGUUGUUUCACAUAAUUCACAAGUAAUUGUAUCUUAAAUUAAUUUUAGAUUGCAAUAAUAUGUGUGUCCAAAAUCUUCUGGUGAAUUGCAUUUCAUGACUAACCAAAUUAAAAGUUUUCAAUCCACUUCUAGUUCUUGAAGUAUAGUAAUAUUUAUUAGUUGCCUCCACGGGUUUGUUGGUAUAUAUGUAGUGGCGGAUCUAUCUUCUUAUUUAUGUAGUGGCGGGUCUAUCUUCUUCUGAGCGAGUUGCAGAGCUAUUUUUUCUUUCUUUUAUUCUAUCUGUCUUGCUUGAUUGGUUAAAGCAUUUUUGAGUGCUGAUGGUACUCCUUUGGAUGGUUUAACGCGACUAGCAGAUUACGCAGUGUUCAAUCAAAUAAUUGACACUGAUUACGAUUUGAAUUGUCUUCCCGGCUCAAUGGAAAGAAAACCCCGUUCUACAAUUCAUCAAGACGAAACUCAUGUCUUUCCUCCAAAUACCAUUUUCUUUUCCUUAGCCGACGAACAAAACAACGAAUUCAACCGCAGAUACCUUUUAGCUAGCGCAUGCUAAAAAGAACAAGUAAAUACCCGUCUCAUGUUUGACUCUAUCUGUAAUGUUGAUUGUCCGUGAAAAAAUCUUCUCUGUGAAAAUUAUUUUUGUUCAUUUUCUUGCGUUUUGUUUAAUACAAAUUUAAAGAACAUGCAUGACAUUUAUUAAUGUUAGCGUUGAUUAAUGAGUGAGAUACAUAGAAUGUUCUGGUGGUCACUACUGGAAAUUACCCCUAUGGCAACGAACUUUUUGGCAACGGUUAACAAAGCGUUGCAAUAGGUGGUCUAUUGCAACACUUUCAAGCGUUGCCAAAAAUAAUUGUUCUAUUAGCUACAAUUUAACCCUAUAACUGUCGCUUUUGACAUUAAGCGUUGCAAUAGGUAAAUGAAAUAAGCUAUUGCAAUGCUUAUAAUUUUAUUCCCUCCAUUUCACUGCCAAUUUUAUUCAGUCCGCCAAAAAUAAAGUCUUUUUAUAAUACUAAAACAUUUCAACACUGCCUCUACGGACGAUCCAGUACUACUCAGUGCUUAAACAUUUCAACACAAACACAGCUACAAAAGAGUGAUUUCAACACUGGUGCCAGUGAUGAGCUGCGAUUGCGAUUAGGGGAAAAGAAGAAGAGGGGAAACAAUAUAGUUCUGAGGCACUUUGCAAUUAGGGCUAAUUUUGUUUCAGUGUUGGUUUUGGAUGAGUUGUAUCUGAAUAGAGCUGACAGUGUUGGUUAAAAAGAAUUAUCGUUUGUUGGUUUUUACUUCUGAUUCUUCCAAGGAAGCUACGGAAGGAAUUGCUUAUCAGUGGAGAUACAUGGUUGAAAAUGAGCCUGGAGACCCUGGAGUGGCACCUGGAUCAUGCUCCAGUCAUAAGGAAUCGAAACCACUUAAUUCCAGAAGUGCCUCUCUGUUUCUAAUGAAUUACUUUCCCACAAUUGCUGUACAAAACGGAGCCUGCAAAGAGCAUUCAACUCAACUUGUUGAUACUGCUGCUGCCGGUUACAAAGCAGCAGGCAACAUGAUGCCCAAUUAUGUGGCAGUAAACUUUUACAUGAAGUAAUGGAGGAGGAGUUUUUGAUGUUUUAGAUCAAAUGAACGGUCGGACACUGUGUGGUUGCCCUACGGUCACAGCAUGCCAGG